AGGGCACCACCAGGAGUGGAGCCUGCGGCUUAAUUUGACUCAACACGGGAAAUCUCACCAGGCCCGGACACUGGAAGGAUUGACAGAUUGAGAGCUCUUUCUUGAUUCGGUGGGUGGUGGUGCAUGGCCGUUCUUAGUUGGUGGAGCGAUUUGUCUGGUUUAUUCCGAUAACGAACGAGACUCUAGCCUACUAAAUAGUGACUGGAUUGUUUCUGUCCAGGACACUUCUUAGAGGGACAAGUGGUGUUCAGCCACACGAAAUUGAGCAAUAACAGGUCUGUGAUGCCCUUAGAUGUCCGGGGCUGCACGCGCGCUACACUGGAGGAAUCAGCGUGCUAUACCAUUGCCGAAAGGCAUUGGUAAACCCGUCAAAAUCCUCCGUGAUCGGGAUCGGGAAUUGCAAUUAUUUCCCUUGAACGAGGAAUUCCCAGUAAGUGUGGGUCAUCAGCUCACGCUGAUUACGUCCCUGCCCUUUGUACACACCGCCCGUCGCUGCCCGGGACUGAGCCGUUUCGAGAA
rnacentral:rRNA from 1 species